CGCUAAUGUCAGGUCUCCCCGGUAUGAACAUGUGAUGCAAGGGAUAAUAAUUAACGUUCAACUGGGACCACUGGCUGGAGUGAUUUCUUUGAACAAAACACAAUGCAAGGAGAGUAUGAUUAACAUCUGUUACACUGGUGCCGUGACCCGGAUCCUUGUCUUUGCUGGAAGUCACGUGGAGAAGGUGGUUGCUGAUGAACACCAGAGGCCUAACAUAUGGAACACCGUUUGGGUCAUAAACCAAUCUUUUUAAUCCUACGUGUGUAAAGUAAGCAGGUGCUAAAUUAACACGUUCACGUAUUAAGUUAAUGUCUUCAUGCACUAAGUUAAUGCCUACAUGCAUCAAAUAAGCCUGCUUGCAGGCAGUCCAACGUGCUAAAUAAGUGGUCCUGCACACAUCAAAUUAAUGCCGACAGCUGCUAACUACACCUACACACGCUAACUUAACGCAUUCUUUAACAUGCACAUUUUCCAGCCAAUUUCCCUAGCUCCUCCUUUCAAUCAGAUUUCAUUAAUCGGUGUACAGUAAGUGUGAUGCAACAACACAUGUCACGUUUGCUGUCUUCAAACUCCCUAUCAUAAAUGAGCCAAGGCGCAGCGUGCAUGUAAUUCCACAUCUUUAAUCGACGUGAAACCUUUCACAAAAAAAAACAGGUAAACAGAAUCAGAACGUGACGCAACCGUGACGCACACAAACACUCACCGAAAAUAAAUAAUUACCCACAAACACAGGUGGGAAAAGGCUGCCUAAGUAUGAUUCCCAAUCAGAGACAAUGAUAGACAGCUGCCUCUGAUUGGGAACCAUACCCGGCCAACAAAGAAAUAGAAAACUAGAAUGCCCACCCAAAUCACACCCUGACCUAACCAAAGAGAGAAAUAAAAAGACUCUCUAAGGUCAAGGCAUGACAACACCACAAUUGAAGAUGACGAGAAGAACCUUACUUAUCCGCUGCAAACAGACUCUAAAUGACUGCACUCGGCUUCUGCUCUCCGAAAAUCCUGGAUUUGAUGCCCUUCAGUCCACGUUAACAAGUGUGUCUUAGAUGGCAGACGUUCUACAUGUGUCCCGAUCGACAGUCAAAUGUCGUCUAAGACACUUCAAUCUGUCACAUGCACCGUUAUAUUCUGACAUGUCAGACUUGGCUCUGAAAGAAAAUAUUUAGGAUUUGGUGGCUGGGAACGACAAACUUGGACCGGAGGCUGUUCGAGCACAAUUAAGGGCUCCGUAAUACAAUGAUUCCAGACACUGCCAUAUUCCUCCCCCCAAUGGGAAAAGAAGGGAGUGACUAGAGUACAGAAAUAGUGGAGCCCUUCUCCCUUUCUGAUAUUCUGCAUAUUAUGAAAGUAAAUAAAACAUCUUAUUUAUCUAUGUUACCUAACUAAUUCUGAUUCAGCUACGACAGGGUGCAGAGACGCAGAGAGGGACAGCAUGCUUCGUGUUAACCCGAGGGCGUCUGCCCUCAGAACCAUGUCGCAGAGGCUGCAUAGAAGGUCAUACCGUGUUGCUGGACCAAUCUCGUUAUGGCACCUUGAUGGAAACCACAAACUGAUAAGGUAGAUGUAUCUUUGUGAUAGACACAAUUAUCUAUAUCACUGGUGAGAAGUUGUAACAUCGCAAAUUGUUCAUCAACAACUUGUUCAUCAACAACUAACAGUUCAGUUUAGCAAGCAAUGGCCCUUGAUACCAUAUGUCACUCAUGUGAAUAAUAAUAGUUUUAUUGUGUUUCUGCUACUUCUGUGAUUGAUUAGACUAUCUGCAUCAUGAAAUUAACAAACAUGCUUAUAUUGAGGACAUACGGAGGCAAAAACAGUUGGCGCAAAGUAUUUGUGCCUAAGUGUGAACAACAGGAGAGUCUGUCCUCUUGACUCUUCAAGAUAAACGUGGUUAUUUUUCCAAUUGAAGUAGAUAUUGUAAUCACACGUCUUCUGCUGCAGGAAACAGUCUCGAACAAACCCUUGUUGUAGCCUUGAGAGGGCUAACGGAAGUACUUAUAGUUGUGAUCCGCGUUACAUUGUUCAUUAACUUUGUUCCAGAUUUUGGAUGUUAAUUUAGUAUUUGGUCUGCUGCUUUUGUUAUAUACUGUAGGAACCUGAUGCAGCGUCUAAGUGGUAAAGGAGGAUGGUGAUGUUUGUAUGUUUAAUGUGUCUUCAUCUUUUGUAUCAACCAGUGCUGUAUUUUCUGAUUUUGGUGGAGGAUAGUCAUACAUGGUGGCAUUGAUGGGUACAGUUGCCUCGUUGUGUUUCUCCGUGCGUCCAGAAACAAUCGCAGCAGUUCUGUAAUGGAUUGCUUCAUGAAUGCUGUCUCCAGAUAUGGCGUUCCCUCCCGAGUCAGGACGGACCAUGAAGGAGAAAAAACGUUCUGCUUGUUGAAUACUACUUCUAUGACAGACUACUUCUACGAGGCUACACUUGUGGCAGCACCUAUUCCUGUGCACCCCCAACUUCUGCAUCACUUCCUGUGGCCUCCCCUCCACCAUUCCCUGAGGCUUAUCAUCCACCUUCACCACACUUGUCUGUUGAUGUUGGUGAUGAUGACAAUGAUGUUGACCUGCAAACACUGCUGAAGUUAAUGAGCAGCAAGGUUGACUCUGCUUUUGCCCCUGAUGCCAACCAAAUUAACGUGAUCAGGGACAACGUUUAUGAUUGUGCAAUGAGAGGAUUUAAGAGAACCCGCUUUAAUCCGGAGGCAAAAAUAGACAUGGUUUUUAUGGAUGCUGACGGAAAAGGGGCAGCUGAUGAGAGUGGUCCCUCGAGAAUUUCUCCGGGUGCUAAUGUGUGCCAUCCAUUCCUCUGCAAUAUUUGAGGGACCUGAUUGGCAAAAAUGCCUUUCUUGCAACUCUCAAGCAUUCUAUAAUGGCGUAUACAAGCAGGGGGAAACACAUACCCUUUAACCCUGGAGAAGGUUUUCAUUUUCACUUCGGGGGCUUCAGCAUUCCUAGGCUGGGAUUGCCAGUGGAGCCACAGCUACAGUUCUCUCUGCUACAGCACGGCAAGCGGUACCGGAGCGCCAAGUCUAGGUCCAAGAGGCUUCUAAACAGAUUUUAACCCAAGCCAUAAGACUACUGAACAUCUAAUCAAAUGGCUACCCAGACUUAUUUGAUGCUACUCUGUUAUUAUCGGUGCAUAGUCACUUUAAUAUCUCUACCUACAUGUAUAUAUUACCUCGACUAACCGGUGCCCCUGCACAUUGACUCUAUACCAGUACCCCCUGUAUAUAGCCUCGCUAUUGUUAUUUUACUGCUGUUCUUUAAUUAUUUGUUACUUUAGUUUUUUUUUUAAACUGCAUUGUUGGUUAAGGGCUUGUAAAUAAGCAUUUCACUGUAAGGUAUACUGCACCUGUUGUAUUCGGUGCAUGUGACAAAUACAAUUUGAUUUAAAGGGAAUUCAUUAAAGGGGAAUUAUCCUAAAUGUUUAUUGCAUGACUACCAAGUAAGUUUGGAAUACUGCAGCCAAUGUUAAUUGGUGAUGUGUCCCUAAAGGAUUGGUAUUAUGAAAGUUUCCGACAGGAUUGUCCAUCAGCAACAACAAAAAAGGUGUGCCGUGAAAGUUUAAGAAAACAUUACAACCAACCAGAGUCAAUUUGACACAGUAAUACAUAAUGCAGCUUUAAUAUUUCAAUAAAUGUAUGAUUUCUUAGUGGGUAAACUGAGCAUUAUGAACAGCAGUUAAGUCAUGUAUGUCAAGGGACUAUGUUACAAUAUGUGCAAUGUUACCAUAAAUAUUACAGUAAAUAUGGCCAUUCCAUUUACAUGUGUUAUGGCAAUAAAAACAGACUCUGUAGUUGGUACAUAGGUCGUGGUGCAGCAAGUUGACGAGGAAAGUGGAGAAGCACUGGUGGGACUUUGAGUGAAGUGACUGAGGGCAGAAAAGGAUGUCAGGGUGCCCAGGAACUUGAAGCUGCUGAUCAACUCCAUGUCAAUGUACAGUAGAUGGGAGAAUGGUCAUUAAGUCUCACCAUCUACUUUGUUUUGAUUACGCUGAGGCUGUUGUCCUAUCACCAUCGUGUCAGGUCCCACAGCUCCUUCAUGAUCACUGGGGAUCAGGUGUAUCAUGGUAGUGUUGUCAGCAUGUUUAGGUGUUGGGUCCAUUCUGGGGAUACACAUUCUUGUGAUAAUGUAAAAAAUCUAAUUUGUUAUUACAGGGUUUACACCCAGAGGCCUGAGUCUGCAAACCAGUUUGUGAGUCAAGAUGAUGUUGAAAGCAGAGUUAUAAAUGAAAACACACUCUGACUUAUGUAAAAUGUAUAAUUGACAUUUGUUGGGAGAAUAGGCAAACUGGAGUUGGUCCAGUGAAUUUUUGCUACCAUGUGCUACAUGAUAUCUAUUUGUUCCAGAUUUUAAAUCGAUAUCGACUGGGCUGCAGUGGAGAUGGUAAGAAGCUUCGAUAUCAUUGGGACCUAACUUCUAACGUCCUUUCCUGGUACACCCACACAGACGCUGCAGUCUAAAACCAGCUGCUCUCCAUCCUACGGUGGCUGAAGACGUUUUUCCUGACGUCAAACAUUAACAAGAGUGUCGGAUUGAAAAAUGUAAACAGAAACAUGAGCAGAUUACUUUUGUCAUCUUUACUGGCACAGUGGUUUUAAAAUAAUGUAUAAUUGUAGUCACUUUCAAUUGAGUCAUUGACUCCAAGAACCAUAGAUUGUUUGUAGUUCAUAACAUUAACACACAACUGACAUUAAAUGUUGCUUAACUGUAGAUUGGGAUACACGUUUGAAUAACAUUGGAUAUUUGAUUAGGCUUAAUGCUGCAUACCUUGCCGUGUUGUGCAUGCCAACCAAGUGCGAAUCACCAGAAUUAGCUAUGAUACUUGAUGAAUCAGGUCUUCUCUGCUGCGUUAUCAGCCUCUCCCUUGCCCACUCCAAGCUCCUCUUCAUGGUUCCCUUCUGCAAGACACAAUUGUGUGAAAAUAAAGCGAAAGGAAUGGGGACCCUAUUCCUUUGAAGCAGUAAUAUAUAGUACUGGGUAUAUGCCUGAAGUUAUUUUACCCUAAUAGGCUUUGAUGGAAUGUAAAUAUUCCAAAAACGAAGUGAACGUGCACAUUAAAGUCUACUCUGUUCGAAAGCUAUGUUGUAGAUGUUAGCAAAGGUUUUACAAGGUUGUCACUAGCCAAACUUGCUUUAUGUGAGCUUUCAGUGUCUUCAUGCUAAUCGCGAGCUAGCGUGGCUCACGCUAGCAUUGAAAUGACAGCCAGUCAGGCUGAAGAAGCUGCCUACCUUCAGCUGUUAUGCUUAAAUAUAAGGCUUUUGGCUAAAAACCUAACUCGAAAACAUGUCCUGCGUCAGUACUAGCCAAUAAGUCACAUUUAGGUAGCUUGUCUUCCUUUAGUCACUGACAAAAAGAAAAGUAAAGACAAUAGCCCAAAAAUCGGAGAACUACCAGGAUUUUGAGCAGGAUGUUUUUGGCAGUAUUUCCAUUGUCUAAUCUAUGUAUUCCUGGCCCUGCAUUCACUCAACAAUCUUGCUUGGGCACAAGGCAAGACCCAGAUGCAGACACAGGAGGCAGAUGGUUGGAGUGUUUAUUAAUCCAAAAAGGGGUAGGCAAGAGAAUGGUCGUGUACAGGCAAAAGGUCAAAACCAGUAGGUACCAAAGGGCAGGCAGGCGGGAAUGGAAUCCAUUAAACAGGCAAGGGU